UAUCCUUACAAAAGAGACCUCAGAGAACACUCUUGACCCUUCUGCCAUCUUCUAGGUAAAAUGGAGAAAUAGGAUUGAACUUACCCUCCCACCUGGAAUCACUGGAUAUCAGGUGAUGAAGGACAGUGAUUCUUCAGAGAUGGAAAACAAAUGAGAUUCAAUGGAACUAUAAACUCACAGAUCCAAGAAGCUCAAUGAGUCCCAAGCCCAAGACACAUGAACGAAACUAUAAAACACAUAAGAAUCACUUUGCAUCUCAGAGUUAGGAGUCUCUCAUGGUUUCUCUCUCUCUCUCUCUCUCUAAUUUUUCCUACUCAUUUCCCCUGGGAAGCAAA